rnacentral:rRNA from 1 species
UAGGUGAACCUGCGGAAGGAUCAUUAUCGAGUUUUGAACGGGUUGUCUGCUGGCUCGCAAGGGCAUGUGCACGCCUGUCUCAUCCACUCUCAACUUCUGUGCACUUUUCAUAGGCCGGCUUGUGGGUGCGUUCGCGCACUUGUAGGUGUCGGGCUUAUGCUUUAUUACAAACGAUUCAGUUUUAGAAUGUCAUACUUUGCUAUAACGCAAUUUAUAUACAACUUUCAGCAACGGAUCUCUUGGCUCUCGCAUCGAUGAAGAACGCAGCGAAAUGCGAUAAGUAAUGUGAAUUGCAGAAUUCAGUGAAUCAUCGAAUCUUUGAACGCACCUUGCGCUCCUUGGUAUUCCGAGGAGCAUGCCUGUUUGAGUCUCAUGGAAUUCUCAACCUUCAGCUUUAUUGAUGAAGGCUUGGACUUGGAGGUCGUGCCGGCUCUCGUAGUCGGCUCCUCUGAAAUGCAUUAGUGCGAACGUUACCAGCCGCUUCAGCGUGAUAAUUAUCUGCGCUGCUGUGGAGGGUAUUCUAGUGUUCACGCUUCUAACCGUCUUCGGACAAAUUUCUGAACUCUGAGCUCAAAUCAGGUAGGACUACCCG